GCCCGGAUGGUGGAAUGGUAGACACGUUGGACUUAAAAUCCAAUGGCCAUUAUGGCUGUGGGGGUUCAAGUCCCCCUCCGGGUACAA
rnacentral:tRNA from 1 species